UGAGGAAUAUUGCGCAAUGGGGGAACCCUGACGCAGCAAUGCCGCGUGAAGGACGAAGGUUUUCGGAUUGUAAACUUCUUUUCUUGAGGACGAUAAUGACGGUACUCAAAGAAUAAGCCACGGCUAACUACGUGCCAGCAGCCGCGGUAAUACGUAGGUGGCAAGCGUUGUCCGGAUUUACUGGGUGUAAAGGGCGAGUAGGCGGGUUUGCAAGUCAGAUGUGAAAUGCAGGGGCUUAACCCCUGAGCUGCAUUUGAAACUGUAGAUCUUGAGUGAUGGAGAGGCAGGCGGAAUUCCCGGUGUAGCGGUGGAAUGCGUAGAUAUCGGGAGGAACACCAGUGGCGAAGGCGGCCUGCUGGACAUUAACUGACGCUGAGGAGCGAAAGCGUGGGGAGCAAACAGGAUUAGAUACC
rnacentral:rRNA from 1 species